AAAGAACUUACCUAUGUGGGGGAAGCUAACUCUAAAACCAUAAAAUGAAAAUAAUAGAACAAAUCAUGGAUGUCAAAUUGUCAAUGUCCAAACCCAAUCAUUUUAUGGUUUUAGAGUUAGCUUCCCCCACAUAGGUAAGUUCUUUUC
rnacentral:pre_miRNA from 1 species